AGGCUACCCUUGGCAUGAAAGGAAGGGAGAGAAAACACCCGGCUUUCAAGAUGCUGUAAGAGCUGGUCUCAAUGCGCUUCCUCUGCCUCUGUGCGCCCACAGAAAGGUUCAGCAUGUUGCUGGUUCACCUUGCCCGGCCAAUCUGAGAAGAAAACCCUAGGAGUGUAUUUUAUUUUAAAAAAAAAACCUUUCCACUGGGUGCCUGGAAAAAAAAGGGAGCCACAGAGUCCUUCAGUGGCUCUUCAACAAGGUCUCCAUGUUUAAAUGCAACUGGCUGUUUAAUUAAAAGCAGGUGCAGUUACUCAAGUGCACAGUAAAUUGGAACAAAUGCAAAGUAAAACCCUAGGAGUUUAUUUUAUUUUAUUUUAAAAAAAACCUUUAUAAUGGGUGCCUGGAAAAAAAAGGGAGCCCCAGAGUCCUUCAGUGGCUCUUCAAAAUGGUCGCCAUGUUUAAAUACAGCGGACAUGCAACUGGCUGUUUAAUUAAAAGCAGGGUGCACAGUAAAUUGGAACGAAAGUAAAACCCUAGGAGUUUAUUAUUAUUAUUAUAAAAAACCUUUCCAUUGGGUACCUGGAAAAAAAAGGGAGCCACAGAGUCCAUCAAUGGCUCUUCAAAAUGGUCUCCGUGUUUAAAUGCAACUGGCCGUUUAAUUAAAAGCAGGUGCGGUUAUUCAAGUGCGCAGUAAAUUGGAACAACCGCAAAGUAAAACCCUAGGAGUUUAUUUUAUUGUAUUUUAUUUAAAAAGCCUUUCCACUGGGUGCCUGGAAAAAAAGGGAGCCAAGGAGUCCAUCAGUGGCUCUUCAACAAGGUCUCCAUGUUUAAAUGCAACGGACGUGCAACUGGCCGUUUAAUUAAAAGCAGGGGGCAGUUAUUCAAGUGGGACUUAAUUCUUAAUUUUACCACAAAUGGCUAUGUACACUUAAUCCCCCCCAGGUAUGAACGUUUAUUUAGCCAGUGUUCCCCAAAACGGACUCAUUCACAAAGGCUACUCACUGUUACACGUGCAAAACCGCCACCAAAAGCGCCUCUGCAGCCACGUGGCUCGGAGAGAAGCCGGAAGUGGAGGGUUAUUUUUUUCCGGUGUCUGGUCACGUGGCGGAAGCAGAUUGGCUGAGUUUUGCAAGAUCUCUUUUGCUUUUGCUUUCCUAGAGCUGCCUGGGAGACCUGGUGCUUGCUGGCCUUGAGGACUAGAGAGCUAGAAUUACUUCUGCAAGUAUUUUAACAUAUUCUUGUUUGUUACUCUCUGGAAUUGGACUUCUGUCCUUUGCAAUCCCUUUGGGAACUGCUCUGCUUCCUGUUGUGUUGGCUUCUUGUGGUCCCUUGGGGCAAAGUCGAAAUCGUAGCCCUGCCCAACCCAGGGUUGAGCCUGCGUCGGUUGGAUCUUGGCUCAAAGACAACUGACCUUGGGACGGUCCGUCUUGGGGUCGCUCUCCACGUUCUCCAUCGCCGUGAGGGUCUCAAAGCCGCCGACCACUCUGGGGAAAGGCUGAAAUUCUGAUGGAAAUGAAGAAUGACCCUUGGCCAUGACAGGCUGAAGGCUCAAAUUAUGAAUGUCUGCUUUUAGAUCUUUCAAGCCUGGCUCCAGUGGAAACAAAACAAGGAAAGCUUUUUAUUUAUAUACGGCAGAGCAGCGGUUUCUAAAGAAUCCCUUAUCAAACAAUCGGAGCAUUUAUUAGCUUGGGCUGCGCUGGUGAGCAGGUAGGCACAGGAGCGGAAAGUAAUGAAGCUGGUAGGAAGGAGAGAAAGAAGCAUGUCACGAAACGAACACGUCAAGAGCUUCCCCAAAACAAGUGCAUCACAACAACACAAAUAGCUGUGACUUGUCUCAGACAAACGGUCUCCAGUUUGAAGGGCAGACCUAUCUGAGCAGAGUGAACGGCACAGGAAUGAAGCUUCAACCUUUCCAGAUGAAAUUGGAAAAAAAAA